AUGCCCGUGACAAAUAUGACAGGAAGCCAGUUGACUACACAAAGUCUGAUACGCCCUCAGCGCAGUCUUCAACUUUAUGACAGUAACCCUCUUUCUCUGCAGCAGGUGAGCCGUAUCACCCUGAGGACGAUGUUGUGCACCAGAGCUGUGGACGUGGUGACCCACCUGGAUAUUCCUAACCAUAUUAUCAGUUAUCUCUUACACCAGUGAACUCUUUCCUUAGAGGUCCACAGAUAGUGUGGAAACACCUUAAGCAUUGAAAUAUCUCCAACAAAUAUCAGUUUUGUUGGCACUUUAGAGAUUUAUAGGUGCACUAUGUAUUUUUUUGUGUGUUAUAAAUGUAUCCAAAUUAUUUUUCUAGCAAUUUUUUAUGGUUACCUUAAUUGACUACACUUUACAUUUGAAAAGAAUAGUGUGCUUGUAAAUGACAAUUGUGUCAUUAUCAACUCAGUUUCAUGUCGUUCCAAACCUACAUUUUUAAAGAUGUUUUUGUCUGUACAUUGAAUGUCAGUGGGGUCCAGAAUAACCACUUUACGGACAAAAAAUUUUUUAUUUUUCAAAAUAUCUUCAUAGGGAGUAAAUGUUAGAAUUUUCAUUUUUGGGUGGACUGUCCUUUUAAGUAACAGAAGCACAAUGUAUUACAUAAAUAGGAAGCUCUUCUUAAUAGCACUUCUCAGCAGAACAGUCCAGAUUUGCUGUAAAAUAUGUUGUCUUAAUGUGUCUGAGGUGAAUUUAGGAGUGAUGAAAACUAUUAUAUGUUUGCUAAAUAUUGCCAGAGAGAAAGAGUGGGAGAUAGAAACACAAAAAGAGGAAACUUAAUCUGGCAGCUGUCUACAUUCAGGAACUCCUCUGACCGCGUAAUGAAGUCCAGGGAUAUGUCAGCACAUUAGUAGAUCAGACGACAGACACUAUAUGCACAACACACACUGCAUUGCUGGAUAUGAGCAUGUUAACAUCCUCAUGCUCUCAUUAGAGAUUCUUUAAAGGAGAUCACAGCGCCUUGAACUAAGGGUUAUUGCACAGGCCCGGGGGAAACACUGGCAUUCAUAUUAUGACAUGAGCUGCUUGAGUUAUACUACAGUUUUGCCACAUUCAUUGUUUGUGACGCCAUACACAAUGACAAUGACAGAAACCAGUUUCCAGCAGUGUUUUGUUGUAGUAACAUUGUAUUAGUACACCGGUUGUAAUAUAUCACUAUUCAGCUUUUGUUUCCAAUUCUCAACUGCUGUUCUUACAUCUAAGAAGUGAAGAAAAGAUAUUUAAGACAACAUGAAAUAGCCUUUAGAAAUUAUUUAAUUAAGAGUUAAUCAGAAUAUUCUGCAGGAAAAUAAAUCAGAUGCGAUUUGAUACAUUAGGAUCUGAUUGGAUCGUGAAAUGUUGGGCUUUUUCUCUCCUCAGUUUGGACUUUGCCAACAAAAAUUAAGUAUUUUCUGAUGUAAACUAAAGUAAUAUUACCAUGAAAGAUAAUGACAGCAGUCUUUUUACUUUUUAGUAUAUUUUCAAAUAAAUGCAGCAUAGGAAAUUUUUUCCAAAAAUAUUAAACAUGUUACCAAACCCCAAACUUUUGAACAGUAGUGCAAGAAAUAAAAAAUAAAAAAAUAAAGGUUUUAACCAUUUAUCUUCAAUUUAUCAUUAGAAAACGGUUUUAUUUUAAGCCAGAGUUCAAAUGAUUUGUUUCAUUUAUUUCUAAGACGCUCUUUCAACUGUUCCUUCCCUUAAUUCAUUUAAGUGGUGUCAGGAUUAGUUUUGUGAGUUUGACCCACAGUUCUCCAAGUUCUCUUUAUCCAUCUGAUCCCUUCACAUCCCAUGCCUCCUCUUAUAAAGUACAGAAUGUUCUAUAAAUAGCAGCCAGACCAAAAAUAGAAAGAAGUCCAUGUGUUUGUGUUCUGACUGAGCUGGAUAAAUGAGUUCCUCUUCCUGUGCAUGUAUCCCGAGCACAUAAACGUGCUGGAUCUGACCUGAAACUGAGCAGCAGGGAGGGCAGGAAUGUUGUUUUUAGAGCGCAAACCCUCGUCUGAUAUUAAGCUUACACAGACACGACAGCAGCGAUUGAAAGAAUGCUGCUCUUUUUCUUCUUAUCCACCUCUCAUCUUAAAACAGCCUUUAAAGGAUUGUUGUUUUAUCUUCACCAGUCUUUAUUGUUUAAAGCUGAUUGUGGAAUUCAUGUUCUGUACUAGUUAGCCUAAAACAUGCCAGUGUUAUCUGGAUUUUAGUUGUUUUGUUUGGUUAUUCCAAGGCAUGAGUACUUUAUAGCACCAAAUACUAUAAGCUUGAGUGUAAAGUUUACUGUUAUACUGUUCACAAAUACUUGAUGCUCAUUAUGUUUGUAUAAGGUAAUUAAGUUAUUGUAAAGUCAAUAUUUACAGCAAGAUGCUGAUUGUUUUAUUAAUCUGUUGUCCUUACGCAGGAUAUCCCAUAAGUCAUAAAACAAUUAUCAUUCUUCUUCAUUGAGAAAACAACAGACCUGACAAGGAUAUUGUUUGAAUCAUAUUUUAAUAUCAUGGUGAUUACAGUGUUCACCAAUGAUUCAACUUUCAUAAUGAACAAUAUUUUUAUUUUAUUGAUUUUAUUUUAGUUAUUUUUUUAAUUAUCGGCAGUUGUGUGGCUGGUUUUAUGGAUUCCAUACCAGUGAUUCAGAUUUUAACACAAUAUUUUGAUUUCUAAAGACACUAAUCAAUCUCCAUUUAUUUUAUAUCAUUUUAUUACACUACACUUACACUGCGCAGGCCAAUUCAGUGCAAUUUCUGUACAUUGCCACAAGGGGGCUCCGCAGCUUUUAUAUUUGAACCAUUAGUCUUUUCUUUGUUUCUAGACAGUCUUGCUGCUUUGUGAUCAAAAGAAGGCCUCUUUGCGAUUAAAGUCACCUGAUCACAUUCUGGUGAUUGUCCCACUGACCUUUGAUCCAUGAGCAUUGCAUAGUAGAAAGUGAAGUGACACCUUAAUUUUUACCAGACGGGUGUACAGCUCCUUCAGCUCCUCAUAUUCAUUCUUUCUUCUGCUUGUUGCUGUUGUGCUGCUGCAUGUUGACGUUCAGGCUUGUCAUGCAAGAAGAAUAGCACACCUGAUUACACAACCGAGCAGCUUUUGUGCUGGAACAAAGGUCUGCGGUCAAGAGAGCAGCUUUAGAAGAUGUGCUUGCAGAAAAAGAUUGUGACCCAUAGUAGGAGGAAAAGCAGCAGAAGCAGAUUCUGAGAUGGUCCGCUUCUUGUCUUAAGAGGCUCCCAGGCACAAACCAGCUCAGAUCCACUCAGGAAUUCUGCCUCAAUGAGAAACAGAUGUGUGUGUGCAUGAAGCGCAGCCAUGAAAGCUAAGCUCAGCUCCAAAACUGCACACUCCACACACACACACUUGAGACCGUUUUCUAGUUGUGAAACACCGUAUUGUACCCAAGAAAUGUUUACAUGGUCUAGUUUUGUUACUUUAUAAUUCUAUCACUGUAUUUUAUUAUGCAAAACCUUUCAUAAAAGUAGUUGCAGAUUCAAACUGUGUGCUUUGUUUUGGAGGUUACUGCAUCUUUUGUGCCACAAAUGGGAGUAAAUUACAUAGCAGGCUAAUUUGUAGAAUGACAAAUGGCUACAGGACAGAAACGGUUUCCCAGAUCUUUUCAUCUUGGUUGCUUGUCACUUAGCAAAAAGUGACUUACAAGUCAGUAAAUGCAGACACAGGCCCCUAAAGCAAUGCUGGGUUAAGUCCUUCGUCCUGGAGUUUGUCUGGUCCCUAUCUAAAAUCAAACUUUAACCAGGCUUUUCAUCUGUUUUUAUGCACUGUCUAAUGGUCUAGAGAUGAGACAACAGACAAGACUCGUUCAAAAAGUCUUUGUAGAUGUCUAGUCAGAAAAAUGUGUUUCUGUCCAGCUGAGAGCAGAAGCAGUGUAGGAUAGACUACACACACAUUCACAUCAUCUGUCUUUGUUUCCCCUUCUCCUCUAAAUGAUCAUACCAUCUGUGUGUGUGAUUUUUCUUUUUUCUUUUUUUUUUUCUUUUCUAAAGGGACACCCUCUAUUUGAUAUUCAAACAACACACCACAUACUGACCUCAGCAACUUUCCAUUUAAGCUCCUGGUAAAGGUAAAGGUUAAUGGUAAAGUUAUUUUUAUUAAUUUUUUAUUUUUUAUUUCAGUGACAUGGUUGGUGUCAUGGAUUGAAUAACAGUGAUUCCUCCAAAAAUGAAUAAGUUUUACUAAGAACAAUAUAUUGACUUCUAAAGCCACGAAUUAAUUUUAUUUUAUUUAUUUAUUACUUCUAAAGCCACUUUUUUAUUAUUAUAUUAUAUAUUUGUUUAUUUCCAUUAAUUUCAAUGGCAGUUGCAUGCUUGGUUU
rnacentral:lncRNA from 1 species